UACGUAGGGGGCGAGCGUUGUCCGGAUUUAUUGGGCGUAAAGGGCUCGUAGGCGGUCUGUCGCGUCGGGAGUGAAAACUCAGGGCUUAACCCUGAGCCUGCUUCCGAUACGGGCAGACUAGAGGUAUGCAGGGGAGAACGGAAUUCCUGGUGUAGCGGUGGAAUGCGCAGAUAUCAGGAGGAACACCGGUGGCGAAGGCGGUUCUCUGGGCAUUACCUGACGCUGAGGAGCGAAAGUGUGGGGAGCGAACAGG
rnacentral:rRNA from 1 species